GGGUCAGUAGGUUGGUCGUGCCACCGGUACGUACUGGUCUCACUGAUUCCUCCUUCCUGAAGAACCAUGAUGCCAUUAAUUUGGUGUUGCGGGGAAACAGGACUGUUACUUUGAAAAAAUUAGAGUGUUUAAAGCAAGCUAACGCUUGAAUACAUUAGCAUGGAAUAAUGAAAUAGGACGAUCGAUCCUAUUUUGUUGGUUUCUAGGAUUGGCGUA
rnacentral:rRNA from 1 species